UUAGCACUUUCACAGGUCCUCUCCUAGGCAGUGGGGCCAGGAUUUGGCAGCUGGUACUGAAAGAAAUCCCUUGAUUAUAUCUUUGCCCUGGGACUGUACCAGUGGCAUUUGACACUCAAGUGGAUGGAG